CUGAGCAAAGGAGGUAACACCUCGAAUCCGAUGAAACACCUGGCGACGCAUAGCGUGUUUUUUUAAAGCCGAGAAAUGCGUCGUGUUUGAUAGCGGGUGUGGUGCCUGUUAUCGGACCCGGAGUUAGCAACAUCCCCCAAAAACCCGAAGAGUAGCGUCCUGGCCCCUAGCCCUGCCAGUGUAGCAGAAAUGAUGACAGAUGAUGAUGGCAGCAGCAGCCGUUCUUCUCUGCUUCUGAUCUCUCUGCUGAGCUACACAGGUGCUGAGGUACUUUACUGGGCUGCUGGUCAGACGAGGCUUCUCUGGAGCUCUUUGUCCAGCUCGGGUGUUUCAGCACCAAGGACAGCGUGCAGCUCUCUGAGCUUCAGCAGCAGAACUGAAUCCACAGACUUUAGCAGCAGCACAGGAAGUGACACACACAUAACUGCUCACAUGCUUUUUAAAGGUUCAUUUAUUAUUGUUUGUGUUACAUUCAUUCAUAACCAAAUUUGAAUUAAUCAGAUGAUCAGUGUUUGACUGCUGUCUGUCUUCAGUGUGUCACUCAAUACUUUAUCAUUAAAACAGAGAGUUGAGGUGUUUUGCUGUUUGAAAAACUACAAACUCAUAAACAUGUGAGUCAGACUGGAUUUCUGGAUCAUUAUUUUCUCACCUGUACCUGAA
ensembl:lncRNA